rnacentral:rRNA from 1 species
CCUACGGGGCGCAGCAGUAGGGAAUCUUCCACAAUGGACGAAAGUCUGAUGGAGCAACGCCGCGUGAGUGAAGAAGGGUUUCGGCUCGUAAAGCUCUGUUGGUAGUGAAGAGAGAUAGAGGUAGUAACUGGCCUUUAUUUGACGGUAAUUACUUAGAAAGUCACGGCUAACUACGUGCCAGCAGCCGCGGUAAUACGUAGGUGGCAAGCGUUUUCCGGAUUUAUUGGGCGUAAAGCGAGUGCAGGCGGUUUAAUAAGUCUGAUGUGAAAACC